rnacentral:rRNA from 1 species
UACGGAGGAUGCGAGCGUUAUCCGGAUUUAUUGGGUUUAAAGGGUGCGUAGGCGGGAUGCCAAGUCAGCGGUAAAAAUGCGGUGCUCAACGCCGUCGAGCCGUUGAAACUGGCGUUCUUGAGUGGGCGAGAAGUAUGCGGAAUGCGUGGUGUAGCGGUGAAAUGCAUAGAUAUCACGCAGAACUCCGAUUGCGAAGGCAGCAUACCGGCGCCCUACUGACGCUGAGGCACGAAAGCGUUGGUAUCGAACAGG